ACACUUACCUGGCAGGGGAGAUACCAUGAUCACGAAGGUGAUUUUCUCAGGGUGAGGCUUAUCCAUUGCACUCAGUGUGGUUAUUGCUCUCCUGGAAGUUUCCUUGGGGUUAGGUCAUUUCUCCUUCAAAAGUCUCCCUAAACUGAGUGUUGUGCAUGCUUGUAAUCCCAGC
ensembl:snRNA U1 U1 spliceosomal RNA